AACCAUAGAAACCUGCGGAGUACCUGCGGAAGGAUCAUUACAGAGUUGCAAAACUCCCUAAACCAUUGUGAACGUUACCUAAACCGUUGCUUCGGCGGGCGGCCCGGGUCCUUCCCGGCGCCCAUCGGCCCUCGCGGGCGCCCGCCGGAGGUAAACCAAACUAUUGCAUUGUAUGGCCUCUCUGAGUCUUCCGUACUGAAUAAGUCAAAACUUUCAACAACGGAUCUCAGAUCGGAAGAG
rnacentral:misc_RNA from 1 species